rnacentral:rRNA from 2 species
CAAGGAUUCCCCUAGUAACUGCGAGUGAAGCGGGAAAAGCUCAAAUUUAAAAUCUGACAGUCUUUGGCUGUCCGAGUUGUAAUCUAGAGAAGCAUUAUCCGCGCUGGACCGUGUACAAGUCUCCUGGAAUGGAGCGUCAUAGAGGGUGAGAAUCCCGUCUUUGACACGGACUGCCAGGGCUUUUGUGAUGUGCUCUCAAAGAGUCGAGUUGUUUGGGAAUGCAGCUCAAAAUGGGUGGUAAAUUCCAUCUAAAGCUAAAUAUUGGCGAGAGACCGAUAGCGAACAAGUACCGUGAGGGAAAGAUGAAAAGAACUUUGGAAAGAGAGUUAAACAGUACGUGAAAUUGCUGAAAGGGAAACGCUUGAAGUCAGUCACAUUGGCCAGGGAUCAGCCUUGCUUUUGCUUGGUGUACUUUCUGGUUGAUGGGUCAGCAUCAAUUUUGACUAUUGGAAAAAGAUUAAGGGAAUGUAGCAUCUUCGGAUGUGUUUAUAGCCCUUGGUUGCAUACAAUGGUUGGGAUUGAGGAACUCAGCACGCCGCAAGGCCGGGUUUUUAACCACGUACGUGCUUAGGAUGCUGGCACAAUGGCUUUAAUCGACCCGUCUUGAAACACGGACCAAGGAGUCUAACAUACCUGCAAGUGUUUGGGUGGAAAACCCGAGCGCGUAAUGAAAGUGAAAGUUGAGAUCCCUGUCAUGGGGAGCAUCGACGCCUGGACCAGACCUUUUGUGACGGUUCCACGGUAGAGCAUGUAUGUUGGGACCCGAAAGAUGGUGAACUAUGCCUGAAUAGGGUGAAGCCAGAGGAAACUCUGGUGGAGGCUCGUAGCGAUUCUGACGUGCAAAUCGAUCGUCAAAUUUGGGUAUAGGGGCGAAAGACUAAUCGAACCAUCUAGUAGCUGGUUCCUGC